CCUACGGGAGGCUGCAGUGGGGAAUAUUGGACAAUGGGCGAAAGCCUGAUCCAGCUAUGCCGCGUGUGUGAAGAAGGCCUUCGGGUUGUAAAGCACUUUCAGUGGGGAAGAAAGCCUUGGGGCUAAUACCCUCGAGGAAGGACAUCACCCACAGAAGAAGCACCGGCUAACUCCGUGCCAGCAGCCGCGGUAAUACGGAGGGUGCGAGCGUUAAUCGGAAUUACUGGGCGUAAAGCGCGCGUAGGCGGUCUGAUAAGCCGGUUGUGAAAGCCCCGGGCUCAACCUGGGAACGGCAUCCGGAACUGUCAGGCUAGAGUGCAGGAGAGGAAGGUAGAAUUCCCGGUGUAGCGGUGAAAUGCGUAGAGAUCGGGAGGAAUACCAGUGGCGAAGGCGGCCUUCUGGACUGACACUGACGCUGAGGUGCGAAAGCGUGGGUAGCAAACAGGAUUAGAUACCCCUGUAGUC
rnacentral:rRNA from 1 species